rnacentral:lncRNA from 1 species
AAGACGGAGCUGAACAGAGGCGGCACGGGAGCUGGACGACGCACGGCGGGGACGGCAAACGCGAAGGGGCGGUGGCGGAGCGCGCGGCGUGCGCGGGUGGUGCGGACGGCGGCCCGGCGGCGUGCGGCGAGCUGCGAGCGAGCGGCGACGGAGCUGCAGCUUCUGGUCUUCCUCCGCUUCUGGUUCGCUUGAACGGAAGGGGGAAGGGAAAUGUCGAGGGAGAG